UAACACCAGCGCCACAAGUGGCAAUCACGAUUAUUGGGCCUAAAGCGUCCGUAUCUGGUUCUGUAAGUCUUUUGUGAAAUCGUUGCGCUUAACGUAACGUCAUGCAAAAGAGACUGCAAGACUUGGAACCGGGAAGGGUCAGAGGUAUUCCAGGGGGAGCGGUAAAAUGCUAUAAUCCCUGGAGGACCACCUGUGGCGAAGGCGUCUGACUAGAACGGCUUCGACAGUGAGGGACGAAAGCCGAGGGAGCAAUCCGGAUUAGAUACCCGAGUAGUCUCGGCCGUAAACGCUGUGAGCAAGGUGUUGCACAUUCUACGUGAAUGUGCAGUGUCGAAACGAAGGUGUUAAGCUCACCGCCUGGGAAGUAUGGUCGCAAGGCUG
rnacentral:rRNA from 1 species